AGCAUUAUACCGUGAAACUGCGAAUGGCUCAUUAAAUCAGUUAUCGUUUAUUUGAUAAUACCUUACUACUUGGAUAACCGUGGUAAUUCUAGAGCUAAUACAUGCUGAAAAUCCCGACUUCGGAAGGGAUGUGUUUAUUAGAUAAAAAACCAAUGCCCUUCGGGGCUUUUUGGUGAUUCAUGAUAACUUUACGGAUCGCAUAGCCUUGCGCUGGCGACGGUUCAUUCAAAUUUCUGCCCUAUCAACUUUCGAUGGUAAGGUAUUGGCUUACCAUGGUUUCAACGGGUAACGGGGAAUUAGGGUUCGAUUCCGGAGAGGGAGCCUGAGAAACGGCUACCACAUCCAAGGAAGGCAGCAGGCGCGCAAAUUACCCAAUCCCGACACGGGGAGGUAGUGACAAUAAAUACUGAUACAGGGCUCUUUUGGGUCUUGUAAUUGGAAUGAGUACAAUUUAAACCUCUUAACGAGGAACAAUUGGAGGGCAAGUCUGGUGCCAGCAGCCGCGGUAAUUCCAGCUCCAAUAGCGUAUAUUAAAGUUGUUGCAGUUAAAAAGCUCGUAGUUGAAACUUGGGCCUGGCUGGCGGGUCCGCCUCACCGCGUGCACUCGUCCGGCCGGGCCUUCCUUCUGAAGAACCUCAUGCCCUUCACUGGGCGUGCUGGGGAAUCAGGACUUUUACUUUGAAAAAAUUAGAGUGUUCAAAGCAGGCCUUUGCUCGAAUACGUUAGCAUGGAAUAAUAAAAUAGGGCGUGCGUUUCUAUUUUGUUGGUUUCUAGAGACGCCGCAAUGAUUAACAGGAACAGUCGGGGGCAUCAGUAUUCAGUUGUCAGAGGUGAAAUUCUUGGAUUUACUGAAGACUAACUACUGCGAAAGCAUUUGCCAAGGAUGUUUUCAUUAAUCAGUGAACGAAAGUUAGGGGAUCGAAGACGAUCAGAUACCGUCGUAGUCUUAACCGUAAACUAUGCCGACUAGGGAUCGGGCGAUGUUCUUUUUCUGACUCGCUCGGCACCUUACGAGAAAUCAAAGUUUUUGGG
rnacentral:rRNA from 1 species